rnacentral:rRNA from 5 species
UGGAUCUCAAAUCAGACAAGACGACCCGCUGAAUUUAAGCAUAU